rnacentral:lncRNA from 1 species
UAUCUUCUACGUUAAAUCAUGCCUGAAUUAUAUUCUCACCAAAACACUGACGUUGAGACCCUACUGCCGAUCCUCAAUCUUCCUUGCUUGCUAGCUAUUAAAUUUAAUUUACCCCACUUAGGUCCUUUUACCCUUCCACGUACUUGCUUUACCUUCAACUUAACAAAAAAAAUUUCCGAUCAUUCAUCAUUUGGCAUGUGCAUAGUUCAAAACAAAGAUGAAGAGAAAACAUAAUUUCCAAAAGACAAUUUCCAUCGUUAGAUAAGAAGAAAAAAGAGGAGAGAGGAAUAGUAAAUUUUCCAUAGGAUCCACGAUAAAGGUUUUUUAAUUCUCAUUAAAAAAUGUCACUGAAGAAACUCC